rnacentral:rRNA from 1 species
GAUGAACGCUGGCGGCGUGCCUAAUACAUGCAAGUCGAGCGAACGGACGAGAAGCUUGCUUCUCUGAUGUUAGCGGCGGACGGGUGAGUAACACGUGGAUAACCUACCUAUAAGACUGGGAUAACUUCGGGAAACCGGAUCUAACACCGGAUAAUAUUUUGAACCGCAUGGUUCAAAAGUGAAAGACGGUCUUGCUGUCACUUAUAGAUGGUUCCGCGCUGCAUUAGCUAGUUGGUAAGGUAACGGCUUACCAAGGCAACGAUGCAUAGCCGACCUGAGAGGGUGAUCGGCCACACUGGAACUGAGACACGGUCCAGACUCCUACGGGAGGCAGCAGUAGGGAAUCUUCCGCAAUGGGCGAAAGCCUGACGGAGCAACGCCGCGUGAGUGAUGAAGGUCUUCGGAUCGUAAAACUCUGUUAUUAGGGAAGAACAUAUGUGUAAGUAACUGUGCACAUCUUGACGGUACCUAAUCAGAAAGCCACGGCUAACUACGUG